UACGAAGGGAGCUAGCGUUGUUCGGAAUCACUGGGCGUAAAGCGCACGUAGGCGGAUGGGUCAGUCAGGGGUGAAAUCCCGGAGCUCAACUUCGGAACUGCCCUUGAUACAGCACGUCUUGAGUCCGGAAGAGGUGGGUGGAAUUCCUAGUGUAGAGGUGAAAUUCGUAGAUAUUAGGAAGAACACCGGUGGCGAAGGCGGCCCACUGGUCCGGUACUGACGCUGAGGUGCGAAAGCGUGGGGAGCAAACAGG
rnacentral:rRNA from 1 species